UUAUAGAUGGACCCGCGCCGUAUUAGCUAGUUGGUAAGGUAACGGCUUACCAAGGCGACGAUACGUAGCCGACCUGAGAGGGUGAUCGGCCACACUGGAACUGAGACACGGUCCAGACUCCUACGGGAGGCAGCAGUAGGGAAUCUUCCGCAAUGGGCGAAAGCCUGACGGAGCAACGCCGCGUGAGUGAUGAAGGUCUUCGGAUCGUAAAACUCUGUUAUUAGGGAAGAACAUACGUGUAAGUAACUAUGCACGUCUUGACGGUACCUAAUCAGAAAGCCACGGCUAACUACGUGCCAGCAGCCGCGGUAAUACGUAGGUGGCAAGCGUUAUCCGGAAUUAUUGGGCGUAAAGCGCGCGUAGGCGGUUUUUUAAGUCUGAUGUGAAAGCCCACGGCUCAACCGUGGAGGGUCAUUGGAAACUGGAAAACUUGAGUGCAGAAGAAGAAAGUGGAAUUCCAUGUGUAGCGGUGAAAUGCGCAGAGAUAUGGAGGAACACCAGUGGCGAAAGCGACUUUCUGGUCUGUAACUGACGCUUAUGUGCGAAAGCGUGGGGAUCAAACAGGAUUAGAUACCCUGGUAGUCCACGCCGUAAACGAUGAGUGCUAAUGUUAUGGGGUUUCCCCCCCUUAAUGCUGCAGCUAACGCAUUAAACACUCCCCCUGGGGAGUACGACCGCAAGGUUGAGACUCACAGGAAUUGACGGGGACGCCCACCAGCGGUGGAGCAUGUGGUUUAUUUCUAAGCAACGCGCAGAACCUUACCAAAUCUUGACAUCGUUUGACAACUCUUAAAAUAGACCUUCCUCUUCCGGGGACAAAUAACAAGUGGUGCAGGUUGUCGUCACCUCCGUCCUGGAAUUUUGGGUUAGUUCGUCCACCACGGCAGCCUUGACCUUAUUUGCUUCAUUAAAUUGGGAGUCUGGGUUUAUUGCCGGUGACGACCGAAGAA
rnacentral:rRNA from 1 species